GAAUUCGCCCUUAGAGUUUGAUUUUGGCUCAGGAUGAACGUUGGCGGUGUGCCUAAUACAUGCAAGUCGAACGGUGACGAUUUUGUAGCAAUACGAAUGAAAUCAUAGUGGCGAACGGGUGAGUAACGCGUUGGUGAUCUGCCUCGAAGUGUGGAAUAACUUCCCGAAAGGGUAGCUAAUACCGCAUAGUCUCUCAAGGUUUAGAAAAUUGAGAGUAAAGGAUUUAUUCGCUUCGAGAGGAGCCUGCGUCCCAUCAGCUAGUUGGUAGGGUAAUAGCCUACCAAGGCAAUGACGGGUAGGGGACCUGAGAGGGUGGCCCCCCACAAUGGAACUGAAACACGGUCCAUACACCUACGGGUGGCAGCAGUAGGGAAUAUUAGAAAUGGGCGAAAGCCUGAUCUAGCAACACCGCGUGUGCGAUGAAGGCCUUCGGGCUGUAAAGCACUUUUUGGAGGGAAUAGGAAGGAAGGUACCUCCAGAAUAAGUCCCGGCUAACUACGUGCCAGCAGCCGCGGUAAUACGUAGGUGGCAAGCGUUAUCCGGAAUUAUUGGGCGUAAAGGGAGCGCAGGCGGUUUAUUAAGUCUGAUGUUAAAACACGGAGCUCAACUUCGUGAUGCAUUAGAAACUGGUAGACUAGAGUGCAGGAGAGGUAAGUGGAAUUCCAUGUGUAGCGGUAAAAUGCGUAGAUAUAUGGAGGAACAUCAGUAGCGAAGGCGGCUUACUGGCCUGUAACUGACGCUGAGGCUCGAAAGCGUGGGGAGCAAAUGGGAUUAGAUACCCCAGUAGUCCACGCCGUAAACGAAGAAUACUAGGUGUCGGAGUAGAACUUCAGUGCCGUAGUUAACGCAAUAAGUAUUCCGCCUGGGGAGUAUGCGCGCAAGCGUAAAACUCAAAGGAAUUGACGGGGACCCGCACAAGCGGUGGAGUAUGUGGUUUAAUUCGAUGCAACGCGAAGAACCUUACCUGGUCUUGACAUAUAUUUAAAAAGCUUAGAGAUAAGUAAUAGUUAUAGAUAUACAGGUGGUGCGUGGUUGUCGUCAGCUCGUGUCGUGAGAUGUUGGGUUAAGUCCCGCAACGAGCGCAACCCUCGCCUUUAGUUGCCAGCAUUAAGUUGGGCACUCUAGAGGGACUGCCAGGGAUAACCUGGAGGAAGGUGGGGAGGACGUCAAAUCAUCAUGCCCCCUAUGCUUAGGGCUACACACGUGCUACAAUGGGUGGUACAGAGGGCAGCCAAGUUGUGAGGCCGAGCUAGUCCCUUAAAGCCAUUCUCAGUUCGGAUUGUAGGCUGAAACUCGCCUACAUGAAGCUGGAGUUACUAGUAAUCGCAGAUCAGAAUGCUGCGGUGAAAAAGUUCCCGGGUCUUGCACACACCGCC
rnacentral:rRNA from 1 species